UACCCACACCUUACGUGGAGUGAGAUGAUUGACAUUCAGACAAUCCAGCAUUAAUGGUUGACGGUCCAGUCCUGUCGAACGUGACGCAGUCUGGACAUUUCUAGUGACACACAUACACGAGGGAUUUGACAGGUCAUGGAAGCCUUGGUCAGAAGUGCUUCUAUGGGAGAGGUCUAAUCGGAUGUCCAGUGAGCUGUGUGUAAUAUAAAUAUAUUCUCAAUUAACGAAAUGUACAUAAGUUGAAUCAAAAGUAUAGAUUAGUAUCUGUUAAUUAUGGAUGAUUUUGAUUCAGACUUGCUUCCACACUUGUACAAGGUAUUAGCGAACAGCUUCAUAGGAGAUGUGCUCUCAAAGAUACCGGACAGAAUGGACACCUUAAGAUUAGUGGUGAUAAUGGCUGUUGCCGUACGUACAUUGUAUUGUGUCUGCACAAAGACCACUUGGUAUGGGUCCAAAUUUUGGCGUUAAUGUUGACCCCAGAUCGGUCAGCAAACAAACCUCUGGAAUGAGAUCGAUGGUUAAAAACCCUCUUCACGGAGGCACCGGCAUGGGUAGCAGAUUUUUACUAAUGAGCUAUCUGAGACAGAAUGAAAUGUUGAUGCCGUAUGAUGUGCAACGCCUGCAGGAAAAAUUCGGAUUUGAUGACGUGUAUGAUGUUACGAAUGUGCAUUUUCGAAAACUGAUUCGUGAACGCCACUAAUGACCAAAACAAUUUAAGAUACAUUAAUAGUUUCUUACAAGUGGGCUAUUUAAACAGAAUUGAAACGACUUUUUUUUUACAAUAUGCUGUCUUGAAUGAUGAAUGCAAAAUAAAGGACAGUGCUGAGUUUUGAAGUUUAAUAUGCUCUACAUGAUAUUGAUUAAAAUCAGUAUUUUUAUGUUGUG